UACAGAGGGUGCAAGCGUUAAUCGGAAUUACUGGGCGUAAAGCGCGCGUAGGUGGUUCGUUAAGUUGGAUGUGAAAUCCCCGGGCUCAACCUGGGAACUGCAUUCAAAACUGUCGAGCUAGAGUAUGGUAGAGGGUGGUGGAAUUUCCUGUGUAGCGGUGAAAUGCGUAGAUAUAGGAAGGAACACCAGUGGCGAAGGCGACCACCUGGACUGAUAACUGACACUGAGGUGCGAAAGCGUGGGGGAGCAAACAGGA
rnacentral:rRNA from 1 species